GUUUUGCUAAGGUUAUUGCUCUGCCUGGAAGGCCCACAUUCCUCAGCUGCAUGACCCGAGGUUUCCUUCCUCUAAGACCUUGCUAGUGGCUCCUAGAUGCCUUCCAAACCAACUUCUCUUCUAUGAGAUCAGCUCUCAGCUUUGUAUUCCUUGGCAUUUAUGGAGUAUGUUAUGGAGGAUAGCAGAAGAGCUUGUUUUCCUACCCUGGGAAAUCCAGCCCAGUGGCAGUGUGCCGGCUUCGUGGUGGUUGUCUAAUCCCUCCUGCUUUGGAACGCUCGUUUGUGCGAGAUGUGAAGUCUCCUGUCUUGGAUCUGAUCAUAGAACUAUGGAGAAGGGCUUUCACUUCAGUACGCUUUAUUUUCUUUUCAAGUGUAAGAAAAACAAGCUUGGACCUACACGUAGUCCUGGAUACUUUGUUUUCAGCUCUUCUUUGUCCUUUCUAUUGAAUUUUUGGUGA
rnacentral:lncRNA from 10 species